rnacentral:rRNA from 1 species
CCGGNGCUUGCUCCCCGAAAGAAAAGGAGUGGCGAACGGGUGAGUAACACGUGGGUAACCUGCCCAUCAGAAGGGGAUAACACUUGGAAACAGGUGCUAAUACCGUAUAACAAUCGAAACCGCAUGGUUUCGGUUUGAAAGGCGCUUUUGCGUCACUGAUGGAUGGACCCGCGGUGCAUUAGCUAGUUGGUGAGGUAACGGCUCACCAAGGCAACGAUGCAUAGCCGACCUGAGAGGGUGAUCGGCCACAUUGGGACUGAGACACGGCCCAAACUCCUACGGGAGGCAGCAGUAGGGAAUCUUCGGCAAUGGACGCAAGUCUGACCGAGCAACGCCGCGUGAGUGAAGAAGGUUUUCGGAUCGUAAAACUCUGUUGUUAGAGAAGAACAAGGAUGAGAGUAGAAUGUUCAUCCCUUGACGGUAUCUAACCAGAAAGCCACGGCUAACUACGUGCCAGCAGCCGCGGUAAUACA